UCGUUGAAUUAUGCCUAGUAC
ensembl:piRNA 21ur-9159 ncRNA